CUAGAAUGCUAAUGGCUAGCUCUUUAAAGGGUAUACGAUUCUGGAGAUUCCUGCUUGCAUUACAGCGUGUUAUUAUCUCGACUCUUGAAAUCCAAUUUACUAACAUCUAUUCCAGGAAAUAGUACGCCUGUUGACUGAUUUCAACGAUCACUAAAUUUGGAAUUUCCAACAUGCCCUCGUGCAUUAUAAAGGGAUGUACCCACACCUGGAAAAACAAAGAAAAAAAUAUCAUAAUGCAUGUCUUUCCAAAAGAUCCCAGAAUAGUCCGGAAAUGGCUUGAGCAGGCUCCUGACCAUUUUCCAAACGUGGACGAAUGGCUUGAAAAAAUCUUGGAAACACAAAAAAAAAAAAGAUAAUUAUCGAUUGUGCUCAAAGCACUUUGACUAUUUUUCAUAUGAAGAAGGAGGAUUGCGUAAAAAAUUACGUCGUGAUGCUGUGCCCACCAUUUUCCCACCAAAAAUUUGCAGUACCCGGGAUUCAUCGGAUGCAACUACUGAGACGGAAAGUCAGACAACUUCCGAAUCAUUUGUUAGUUUAGAAUCACGCUCCGCUACUCCUUUAGGAGAUAUUUCCGGAGAAGUAGUUGGACAAACUAAAACUUCCGAUGGAACAUUGCCAACAAUAGCAGCUACCCCAUGUGUCAAAAGAAAACCAAAAAGAAGAAGGGUAUCAGAACAUCAAAACACACAAGUUGUGUCACAUCCGGUUGGUUCAAGUGGGAAUGUCGUUCUACACGGUGAAAUGAAUCUCCUGGGAAGCACGAUCCAACUUCACCUGCCAAUUACUGCAACUGUUACAGACACCAA